CAAGUUCACUAUUGACCAUCAGUUGAUUAGAAAAGUCAAAAUUUAAUCAAAUUUGACCAAACUAAAAAGGACAAAAUGGUAUAUUUAUACUUUUCCAAAUAUUAUUAACAAUUAAACUAAAAAAAUAAAAUAAAAUCUUCCUCUUCUUUUUCCCAUUGCUGUCAACACCAUCAUCACAACCAACCCUCACAUUAACCAAACUCAAACUUCAUUUUCUUCUCAUAGCCGUCGGCACCACCACAACCUACACACCUGCAACUAAUUAGCCACCUCCCAAAAUCACCAUCGCUCCACUGUCUUCAACCACCGACAAACUGCCAUUUCCGUGUCUUCUAGCCACCACACAAACUAAUCCAACUCAACCUAACCUCCACCCCACCCCCACCCAACAUCCAACUAAACACAAUCCAAAGCCACUGAUAGCCACCGCCAAACCCACAGUUGACUCGACAGACGAUAACUCGUGUAUCUCAAAUUAAUCAAUUCAAUUCUACAAGAAUUAUAGGUGGAGAAUCCCACCACCACCAUCUCUACCACGACUGCAACAUAAAAAAUUCGGGCGAGUACUGACCAAUAUGAUGCACUUUCCUUAUUUGAAACCUUUAGCAAAUCAACCUAUUGCUAUAAUCGCAUGCACUUUUCCCUCCUUGAAACCAAAUGGCACUGUCUUUAUGUUUAGUGCAGAGAGUCCCCUUUGUGAAUCCAUGGCUCUUAGCUUGGAUCUUGCUAAGAGAUCACAGAAUUGGUCAAAAUGGAUUUUAUGAACGAGAAAACAAAAACCAUGUACACCAUUGGAUAUGAGAAAUAGGUAAGGAUCACUCAAGUAGAUCUUCUGGAACUCGUGUAACUUUUGGGUUCGAUUUAGUGGAGGCGGUGUUGGAGUUUAGAAGUGGAAGGUGAUGGUUUGAUUUAGUGGAGGUGAUUUUGGUUUUUGGGUGGCUGUGAGUUUGAUGGUAGCGGUUGGUGGCAUUGGAUUAUGGUUUGGUUGGAGAGUGAGGGUAAGGGCGAGGGUGGAAAUGGGGAAGAUGAUGAAGAUAGGGGUGCUUUCUUUUUUGUUCUUUUAGUUUAGGCCCUUCUUUUUAUGGAAAAUGGAAAACAUUUUCCAUUUCCAUCCAAAAUUGGGUAUUUGAUUGCAAACAAAUUCCAUAGAAUUGGUUUUCCAUUUUCCACCCCACGUGACUCUCUUUUAUAACUUUUUAAGGAAAAAUUGGUUUUGGUGAGAAAAUGAUUUCUAACUUCUUCCCUUUUUUUUUUUUAUUUUUUUUCAGCAAUGAGAACAAAAU
rnacentral:lncRNA from 1 species